UUGACGGGGUGCCGGUGAAUCCGGCUGAGAUAACGUAGGGUGGAGACACACCGAGCGCUGAUCCCGUUGAACCUGAUCCGGCUCGUACCGGCGUAGGAAUCA
rnacentral:ncRNA from 1 species